rnacentral:lncRNA from 1 species
GAGGAACUGCUUAAAAAAGGCUGGGUUCAUUCCUUACAUCAGCCAGAGUGCACAUUAUAGAACUUGUUCCCCAUCUGGACAGAGAAGAUAUGGUGUUCUACAUAAAGGAACCUAAAGUCUCCACCAGGAAACUUCUACAGCCAAUAAACUCAUUCUUCAAAGUAGCAGGAUACACAAUUAACACACAAUAAUCAGUAGCUCUCCUGUAUACCAAUGAAAAACAGACUAAGAAACAAAUCAAGGCAGGAAUAUACCUUCCACAAUAGCCUCAUACAUAAAGAGAAAAAAAUUUUAAGGUAGCUCUAUUCAAGCAAGUGAAUAAUAAAAACUUAAAGACAUUGAAGAAAACUGAAGAAGACAUCAGAAGAUGGAAAGAUCUCCCAUGAUCAUAGAUGAGUGGAAUUAAUAAAGUGAAAAAUGGUCAUCCUGCCAUAAGCUAUCUACAGAUUUGAUAGAAUCAGCCUCAAAAUUUUAACACAAUUCUUCACAGAACUUGAAAGGACAAUUUUCAGAUUUAUCUGGGAACAUAAAAACCAAGGAUAGCCAAAACAAUCCUGACCUAUUGGGGGUAUCACCAUCCCUGAUCUCAAAUUGUUUUAAGGAGCUGUAGUAAUAAAAAAGAGAAUGAUAUUGGUAUUAGAACAAAACCAUUGGUUAAAGGAAUUGAAUUGAAGCCCCAAACUUAAGUCAUAAGCUUAAUGACAUGCAAUUUUUGAGAAAGAAGACAGAAAUGCAUACUGGGGGGAAAAAGCAACAUCUUGUUGAAGAUGUUUGGAUGCUACAAGUAGAAUAAUCCAAACCAAUCCACAUUUAUCACCCUGCACAAAACUCAACUCCACAUAGAUCACGGACCUCAUCAUAAGGCCAGAUACACUGUAUCUGAUAGAAAAAGAAGUUGAGAGUAGUCUUGAACUUAUUGGCAAAGGAAAAGACAUUCUGAACAGGACACUAAAUGCAUGGAAAAUAAGACUAGCAAUUAAUAAACGGGACCACACCAAAUGGAAAUGCCUCUUCAUAUCAAAGGACACCAUCAUUUGUGCACAAUGGCA